CUUAAGAGUCCUCAGCAUGCUUUCUGGCAGGGUGCGGACAGAAGUACGUGAGAUGUCCCUGUAAUGACAGCAGCCAUUUCAGUGUCUAGCAGGACUGGAUGCAUGGCUCGACGAGCUCGUGCAUCAUCACCCCUCUUCACUCCUGGAAGCGUGUGAUUUGAUGGGACGGCUUGCCAUCCCGUCCUCUGGUUGGAAAUCGUCCAACUGCAGUUACAGGGCCAUCUCAUCAAAGGACAACAGCGGAAGCAUACAGAGCCCCUGCUGGACUGUGUGCCCAAGAUGAGUGAUCGCCUCGGCAUAAACUCUCCCCAGACAGAGCACAGCAAUCAUACAGUGGCUGGGACACCUGUAACAAGCUAAUGACAAUAUGGAAACAAAACUUGUAGUGAGGUUGACAAAUGAAUGUGGCUGGGUGCAGCCAAAAAAGGGAAGACUUAGAUCAGAUAUUAUCAGAUAUUAAAACAGUUGUUACACACUAAGUAAAUGGAAAGUAUAAGGAACAAAAACAUGCAGAAAUU